AAGUAAUUUUUUAGCAUAAAUAUGUCUUAUGCAAUAUUUGGGACAUACUUAUACUAAAAAAAUGAUUUGUU
rnacentral:miRNA from 1 species